UGCGGAGACUGACUUCAAGCCACCAGCAGGCGGAGCCACAGGCUGCUGCAUCGUGAAAAGGACAUGAGUUGUCGUGUUGUCCGUCGAUUUGCAAGUUAUGCUGCAUGUGUCUCUGUGCUACUGAUCAGUAAAUGUGUAUAAGGAUCUGCAGAGGUUGUGCUCUUCCUCUCCUCUACCUUUCAGGAUGAAACCAAACAAAAAGAGUAGAUUGAUAUAAGAAAAUGCUAAAGGGUCCUAUGAGAAAUGUGAUUAAGAAAAUGUCUUUAUGACUAAUAUAGAAGAUGCGUAGGAGCCUUAGAUAGAAGCAUAGAGAAGUCAGGUGCUUCAGUGUAGCUGCCAAGGGCAGGACACCAAUGUAUGCCCGCAGGAUGCACACUGAUUUCCAGCUACUACCCGUGGCAUAAUGCCAGGCACUCUUCAUUUAGCCAUGGGGAUCUCCUCAGUUCCAAGCAUUGCAGUCCUGUCCAUUCUGGUACUUGUACCCUACUCUAAUGUGUUUGACAUCCUGGUAUUGACCCUGAACUACAUCGAAACAGGCUGAUGCUGAUCUUUGUUUUCCAAUCAUCUUCAACUCUACAAGCUACCAUCAGGAGCCAUCUGUCAUCCUUUCUGUAAACCGGGACUUGAGAGGAAAGGAAACUGGACAUUAUAUCAUCUAUUCAGUGUGAUGAGUCCAGGAUGCCACUACAGGUUUUAUCUUUAUUUGAUGUAUGUAACUGGGUUUUAUCAUAUGAGUGCAAUAUAGUUUAUAAGAAAUAAAAUA